CAGCAUAAUGCUAGGCAAUGUCCAGCCGUUCCACCCGGCAUACAAGCUUAUGGAGCAGCCCCCUUUGAAGAUCUCCAGGUGGACUUCACAGAGAUGUCAAAGUGUAGAGAUCUUCUUCCUAGAUUUGAACUGCCCUUACGGAUCGGCUCAGAUAACAGGCCGGCAUUUGUGGCUGACUUAGUACAGAAGGCGGCAAAGAUAUUACGGAUCACAUGGAAACUGCAUGCUGCCUACUGGCCUCAGAGUUCCGGAAAGGUGAUCGAGUGUGGAUCAAGAACUGGAACGUAGCCUCUUUGUGUCCACUGUGGAAAGGACCCCAGACUGUCGUUCUGAGCCCUCCCACCGCUGUGAAGGUAGAAGGAAUCCCAGCCUGGAUCCACCACAGCCAUGUAAAACCUGCAGCGCGUGAAACCUGGGAGGCAAGACCAAGCCCAGACAACCCUUUCAGAGUGACCCUGAAGAAGACGACAAGCCCUGCUCCAGUCACACCCGGAAGCUGACUGGUCCACGCACGGCCGAAGCCUGAGGAAGCUCAUCGUGAGAUUCAUUUUUCUUAAAUUUUGGACUUAUACAGUAAGGGCUUCAACUGAUCUUACUCAAACUGGGGACUGUUCCCAGUGUAUUCAUCAGGUCACCGAAGUAGGACAGCAAAUUAAAACAAUCUUUCUGUUCUAUAGUUAUUAUGAAUGUGUGGAAACAAUAAAAGAAACUUGUUUGUAUAAUGCCACUCAGUGCAAGGUAUGUAGCCCGAGAAAUGACCGACCUGAUGCGUGUUAUAACCCAUCUGAGCCCUCCGCAACCACCGUUUUUGAAAUAAGAAUAAGAACUGGCCUUUUCCUAGGUGAUACAAGUAAAAUAAUAACUAGAACAGAAGAAAAAGAAAUUCCCAAGCAAAUAACUUUAAGAUUUGAUGCUUGUGCAGCCAUUAAUAGUAAAAAGCUAGAAAUAGGAUGUGGUUCUCUUAACUGAGAAAGGAGCUAAAGAGUAGAAAAUAAAUAUGUUUGUCAUGAGUCAGGGGUUUGUAAAAAUUGUGCCUAUUGGCCAUGUGUUAUUUAGGCUACUUAAAAAAAGAACAAAAAGGAACCGGUUUAUCUUCAGAAGGGGGAAGCCAACCCCUCCUGUGCUGCCAGUCACUGUAACCCACUAGAACUAAUAAUUACCAAUCCCCUAGAUCCCCGUUGGAAAAAGGGAGAACGUGUAACCCUGGGGAUCAAUAGGACAGGGUUAAACCCUCAAGUUGCCAUUGUAAUUAGAGGGGAGGUCCACAAGUGCUCUCCCAAACCAGUAUUUCAAACCUUUUAUGAGGAGCUGAAUGUGCCAGCACCAGAACUUCUGAAAAAGACAAAAAAUUUGUUUCUCCAAUUAGCAGAAAAUGUAAUUUUCUUACUUACAUAACUGUUACUUCUUGUUAUGUACGCGGAGGAACCACUAUCGGAGACAGAUGGCCUUGGGAAGCCCAAGAGUUGGUGCCUACUGAUCCAGCUCCUGAUAUAAUUCCAGUUCAGAAGGCCGAAGCUAGCAACUUCUAGGUCCUAAAAACCUCAAUUAUUAGACAAUACUGUAGAGCUAGAGAAGGGAAAGACUUUAUCAUCCCUGUAGGAAAGCUUAAUUGUAUAGGACAGAAGUUGUAUAACAGCACAAUACAGACAAUUACUUAGUAGGGCCUAAACCACACUGAAAAGAAUCCAUUUAGUAAAUUUUCUAAAUUAAAAACUGCUUAGGCUCAUCCAGAAUCUCAUCAGGACUGGACGGUUCCCGCUGGACUAUACUAGAUAUGUAGGCACAGAGCCUACAUUCGGUUACCUAAUAAAUGGGCAGGCAGUUGUGUUAUUGACACUAUUAAGCCAUCCUUUUUCUUAUUACCCAUAAAAACGGGUGAGCUCCUAGGUUUCCCUGUCUACGCCGCCCGAGAAAAGAAAGGCAUAGUUAUAGGAAACUGGAAGGAGAAUGAGUGGCCCCCUGAAAGGAUCAUUCAGUAUUAUGGGCCUGCCACAUGGGCACAAGACGGCUCAUGGGGAUACCGAACCCCCAUCUACAUGCUCAAUUGGAUCAUACGGUUGCAGGCCAUCUUAGAAAUAAUUACUAAUGAAACUGGCAGAGCUUUGACUGUUUUAGCUUGGCAAGAAACCCAAAUGAGGAAUGCUAUCUAUCAGAAUAGACUGGCCUUAGACUACUUGCUAGUAGCUGAAGGAGGAGUUUGUGGAAAAUUUAACUUAACCAAUUGCUGCCUACAAAUAAAUGAUCAAGGACAGGUGGUUAAAAACAUAGUCAGGGACAUGACAAAGGUGGCACAUGUGCCUGUACAGGUUUGGCACGAGUUUAAUCCUGAGUCUUUAUUUGAAAAAUGGUUUCCAGCUAUAGCAGGAUUUAAAACCCUCAUUGUAGGUGUAUUGCUAGUGAUAGGAGCUUGCUUGCUGCUCCCCUGUGUAUUACCCUUGCUUUUUCAAAUGAUAAAAGGUUUUGUAGCUACUUUGGUUCAUCAGAAAACUUCAGCACACGUGUGUUAUAUGAAUCAGUAUCGCUCUAUCUCACCAAUAGACUCAAAAAGUAAAGAUGAGAGUGAGAACUCCCACU
rnacentral:lncRNA from 1 species